rnacentral:lncRNA from 1 species
UUUGAGUGGGGGUUCACAGCCAAGUGAAGAGAUGCUUCCCGAGUCUAAGAUUCUUCCACGUAAUGCGGUUUAGACAUGAACAGCAUGAAUUUAAUCAUUCAACAUGGACGUGUCAGAGAGGACACAUCAUGCCUCAGAGGAUGGACAAGAUCUAGACGUACAAUUCCCUUGAAAAAACGAAGUUUUUCAGCCUUUUUAUUCUCAAUCGAGCCGCGGCUGCGCAGCUAAUUGCAGCUGACGGACACACCAUUGACAAGUGAGUCUUUUAUCCUGUGCGUCACAUCCAUCGUGCGGUUGAACAAUUCUAUCAGGUUUGCUCCAACACUGAGCUUGUAACAACAUCCCUUUAAUAACAUUUGCCUCCAGCCUUUCAUGUCUUUAUCGCCAUCUUCGCUUCAGAUUCUAUGCAGUCUGCAUCUGUCCAUAUUAACCUCUAGAGCUCAUGAAUCCGUGUUCAUGAUGCACUACAGUCGUCUGCAAGUAAUUUGUCAUGGACAUGUCCAUUACACUCUCUGAAUCAAUCUCCCACAGCUCAAAUGACGCAAUCCCACAAGUGUGCGCAGAUGCUCUAGUUCCCAGGGGCGAAAUGGGUAUCGAAAUAACCCCCUC